UACGUAGGGUGCAAGCGUUGUCCGGAAUUAUUGGGCGUAAAGGGCUCGUAGGCGGUCCAUCGCGUCGGGAGUGAAAAGCUGGGGCUUAACCCCAGUCCUGCUUCCGAUACGGGUGGACUAGAGGUAGGUAGGGGAGAACGGAAUUCCUGGUGUAGCGGUGAAAUGCGCAGAUAUCAGGAGGAACACCGAUGGCGAAGGCAGGUCUCUGGGCUGAAACUGACGCUCAUGCACGAAAGCGUGGGGAGCAAACAGG
rnacentral:rRNA from 1 species